GCAGCCAUCCUCAGCAACAGCAAGGAUCUGAACUCCUUCUGCGAUAAAAACAGCUGCGUUCUUAUCAGGAAAGUUAGCAUGGAUGCCGGCAGCAGCAGCAGCCCGUGCAGAACCAGUCCUCUCCAUACGUCAAGCAGUGUUUGUAUAUAUUUCAGUGUAUCCAAGCGAGGCCUUUUUAACUUUCCAUGCUUUGGACGGAGCUGUACUUUCCUGAAUGGAAGCCAGGAAAAAACUUGGAGAUUUGGCAGGAAGACUGUGGGAAGCCUGCUGCAACACCAAGCUGAGAUCUGGCGCAGGAGCCUUCUACAAAGGCAGACGAGCGAAACACCUUCCUUUGUUUAGCUCUAGUAUGAGCACAAAUGGAGCCCCCAGAUUGCAAUCAGGUACUAUUGUAUAAACUUGGGGUUUCCAUGGCACAAAAAAUUUCUGGCACACCUCCCUUAUUAUUUUUCAGCUGGAAAAUCAAUUAGCAUUCUUUUUAUAUCUGGGUGUUAAUACUUGGGCCUUAGAGCAAGUUUUUGGCCACCAGCCCACACGGCUGUAGUCUCUUGGGCAAUGCCUGACAAAUUAAGAUAAAACCAUUACUUCAUGUUUUCCUACAAAGAGAAAACAAAAACUGUUUCCUGCGCUUAUUAAUUGAAUGAAGUCAAUUUCCAUGUUUAAC
rnacentral:lncRNA from 1 species